rnacentral:lncRNA from 1 species
GUAACCACAAAUUAUUGUAAAAAUAAAGCAAAGUUAACAAAGGGACGAAGAUAUACUCUGGAAAAAAGAAUUAGAAGAAAAAAAUAAAAAUUAAGAGACGAGACAAAUAUAGAUGACGAUGAAAUAGAAAAAGAAAUUAAUGGUAUUGAAGAAGAGCUAAAUAAGAUAUAUGAUGAAAAAGCGAAGGGAGCUCAAGUGAGAUCUAGAGAAAAAUGGGUAGAGUUUGGUGAAAAAAAUAAUUCUUACUUCCUUGGGUUAGAAAAAAAAAGACAAGUUAAAAAAUCUAUAAGUAAGCUAAUGGGAGAUAAUGGGGAAAUAAUUUCGGAUCAAGAGAAACUUUUAAAUAAAAUAAAAGAUUAUUAUGAAAACUUGUAUAACAAAAAAAGUUUAAAUAAAGAUUUAACAGAAGAAUAUAUCAGCGAUACAAAAUUAGAAAAUACCGUUGAUGAAAAUGACAAACUAAUAUGCGAUGGGAAAAUUACAGUGGAGGAAUGCACAUAUGGUAUCUUUAAAAUGAAAUUAAAUAAAUCUCCAGGUCUUGAUGGACUUACGGUAGAAUUUUAUAGAUUUUUUUGGAAUAAACUUAAAUCACUACUAGUAAAUGUCUUAAAUACAGGAUACGAUAGAAACAGUCUUUCAUAUUCACAACGUACUAGUAUAUUAACUUUGAUAUUUAAAAAGGGGG